AACAGCUAGUAUGCGUCAGGAACAUGACUCACAUGUUAACGUACCAAAAUUUUGAUAGAUGUGCGUACCUAACCUACAAUCAUCGAGUUCGCUAAUGUCCAAUGGGUUAAUAUAGAAUUCAAAGAUUGAAAGAACUCAGUAUAAAGAAUACUCUUCUUUAUUACUUUAGAAAACUAACUCAAAAACUAAAGCUCUCAUCUCUCAAUCUCAAACUCAUAACUUACGCAACAAUCUGACAUCUUCUUAUAUAGAGAUUUAUAACUCCUAAUCCUAUGAGGUAAUAUAUCUAGAUAACUCAUAAACAUGUUAGUAUUCCUAAUUUUCAUAACUUGGUAGGAUAAAGUUAAUAACUUAUAACUCAAGUUUCCUUUUUUUCAAGCUUAAUCCAAUAUUCUCCCCUC
rnacentral:lncRNA from 1 species